rnacentral:rRNA from 1 species
GACAGAGGAGCCAAGCGUUGUCCGGAUUGACUGGGCGUAAAGCGCACGCAGGCGGCCGUGCACAUGGGGUGUGAAAGCGCUCGGCUUAACUGAGCGAUGCCACCUCAUACGGCAGGGCUCGAGCCCGUGAGAGGUCCACGGAAUUGCCGGUGUAGUGGUGAAAUGCGUAGAGAUCGGCAGGAACACCCAGGGGGAAACCAGUGGACUGGCACGGUGCUGACGCUCAGGUGCGAAAGCGUGGGGAGCGAACCGG